AUACUAUGAUGUGGGCAUUUUCUUAACAUUACUUUUAAUCUUUCCCAUGCUUGGUAUACAGAUUCCGUAUUUGUCUAUAUAAAAUUAUUAAUUUCUUGCUUCAUUUU
rnacentral:snoRNA from 1 species